UACAGAGGUCUCAAGCGUUGUUCGGAUUCAUUGGGCGUAAAGGGUGCGUAGGUGGCGCCGUAAGUCGGGUGUGAAAUUUCGGAGCUUAACUCCGAAACUGCAUUCGAUACUGCGGUGCUUGAGGACUGGAGAGGAGACUGGAAUUCAUGGUGUAGCAGUGAAAUGCGUAGAGAUCAUGAGGAAGACCAGUGGCGAAGGCGGGUCUCUGGACAGUUCCUGACGCUGAGGCGCGAAAGCGUGGGGAGCAAACGGG
rnacentral:rRNA from 1 species